rnacentral:rRNA from 1 species
UACCUGCAGUCGACGAUGACCACUUCGGUGGGGAUUAGUGGCGAACGGGUGAGUAACACGUGGGCAAUCUGCCCUGCACUCUGGGACAAGCCCUGGAAACGGGGUCUAAUACCGGAUACUGAUCCUCGCAGGCAUCUGCGAGGUUCGAAAGCUCCGGCGGUGCAGGAUGAGCCCGCGGCCUAUCAGCUAGUUGGUGAGGUAACGGCUCACCAAGGCGACGACGGGUAGCCGGCCUGAGAGGGCGACCGGCCACACUGGGACUGAGACACGGCCCAGACUCCUACGGGAGGCAGCAGUGGGGAAUAUUGCACAAUGGGCGAAAGCCUGAUGCAGCGACGCCGCGUGAGGGAUGACGGCCUUCGGGUUGUAAACCUCUUUCAGCAGGGAAGAAGCGAAAGUGACGGUACCUGCAGAAGAAGCGCGGCUAACUACGUGCCAGCAGCCGCGGAAUACGUAGGGCGCAGCGUUGUCCGAAAUUAU